rnacentral:lncRNA from 1 species
GUGUGUGUCUGUGUGCGUGCGCAUGUGUGUGUAAAUCAAAAGACUCCUAACCUUCGAGUCAGAAGGUCUGGCUUCUCUUCAUUCCUGUCCUAGCCUGGGUUUCCAAAUAAAGAGCCUGGGUCAGGGCAUGUCAAGGUAGUUCAUUUAUGAGGUGAUUCUAAGGAACAAGAGUGAAGCACCGCUGAGUAACAGGAAAAAGAAACAUGAAUGUAGAAAUAUGCUGUGUGUUGGGCCAUUCCUGGGAGUAACUGUGGCUCAGUGUCCCCCUCUUUUGAGACAUGUCUCGGAACCAUCACCCUUGGGGAAAUGAAGAGCGGAUGCAUUUAUCCAACAGAUCCAGUCCCCCUUUGGUUAGGGUGCCUCCGCCAGCAUUAACCUCUCAGUCCAUCCUUUAAAGCUGAGCAACAUUCUGAAGUCAGCCAGAGAAGCCCCAUGGCAGAAAGAAUUACUUGCACAAAUACCGUGGAGAUUGGCAUGGAAAUGUCUGCACAGACUGCAGGGCUAGGAGGAUGGGCAAUUGUGUAAAGAGGUUCUCAAUGUGCAACAUGCCCACUCACUCCCAGCCACAGGAGAGAUGAGAAACUUGGAGCUCAGAGACAUCCGUUAACUUAAAGUGGCUGAAGGGGGACUCCAAUCAGGGCAACCCACCUUAGAGUCCUCUGCUGUCCACCACUGAGCUGGGAAAUGAAGACUCUGCACAUAGCAUUUCAUCUGGCUGAUCCUUGGAGUCCCAGUCUAAGCAGGGCAGAAUAUAUGACUGAAGUGAACUCCACUCGACCUUCAAAUCCAACCCCUCCGAAGAGAAUAUUCCAAGAAUCAAGCAAAACCUGGGAGGUCAAGGAUGUUUCAUCUGCGUUUCCCCAUUCUCUUAGAUUGUCUCUUCUUUCCUCAAGUCUCAUAGAAUCUGAGAGUUAGAAGGUUCUCAAAGGUCAUCUCAAGCACAAUGCUUUGUGAAAUUUGAAGUCCAGCUACAAUAUGCCCAAUAAGCAUUUAUCCAGACUCAAGAGUCCCCAUUGCUGGAGAAUUGGAAUUUAAUAAUACCAAACAUAGCCCAAUCCAUUUUGGAACAAAUCUACUUGUGAGGAAGUUAUUUUAUUGUUGUUUGUUUUACAGCAUGCUGUAGGUGGUCUCUUUGAAUUCCAUCUAAAUACAACUUUUUGUAGUACAGUACUGCAAAUCAUCUAUUCUAAAGAUGCAUAUGUGUUUACACUGUAUCUGUGAACAUUCAUAACAAUUGAAGACACUUCUGAUUGUGCUUGGCUGGGCAGCAGACACGACGUUGUUGCUUAUGCAUGUGUGAGACAGGCUGUUUCAGGUAGUGUGAUAAAAAUUCUCUCAAUAUUUCAGUCAAACUAUUUAAGAGUCUUUGGAAUAAGGAAUAUAAGCCUUCUAUGUCUUAAAAAAAAUUUAUGGAGAUUUUUUGAAAAUCAUGAAAGCACCAGAUUCAAAACAUUCAGAAGGCAUCUUGGAAGAAAAAAAAAAUCUCAGGAGACAAUAGUGGAGGACUCUAAACAAAGUUGUAUUACAGUAUUCUUAAGAGUAAAAUCAAUGGGACGAUAGAGCAAAACUGCUCAACUAAUAUACCUAAUUCAUAGAAUGUAAUAGCUAUUUAGGAAAUGAAACAUUUAUUGUUGAUUUAUGAUGUGCUACUAACUCUGCUAAGCCCUUUCCAUAUUUUAUUCUACUUGAUCCACCCCAAGACCUAAUGAGGUAGUUAGCACAGGGCCACUAUCCCUUAUCCAAAACUUUUAGGCCAAAUUUUGAAAUUCAUAACUAUUUUUAUUAUUUAAGAAUAUAUAGUAUAUGUAUUGUAUCUUGUUUAACCCCACCAGCAGGGUCUGGGAUAGCAUGCUGUAAUCAAACACAUUAAUAUUUUGCAACAAAAUAUGUGCAUAUUCACAGACUGUGGGAUAAAGAAAUAUCAUAGUAAGUCUCCAGUCUCCCGUCUCAUGCCAGUUUAGGUCAAAGAUGAGUUUGUGAUGGGCUUAUGAAAAUGUUUUCUGUUCUCAGGUAUUUGGGGAUUUUAGAUAUGCAAAUUAGUGGUUUGGAAUUUGUAUUAGUGUCUCCAUUUUGCUAAUAAACAAAGUGAGGCUUUGUAAGUAGUUCCCCCUGACGCACACAGCUCAGAGUGUGGAGUUGGGUCUGAGACAAUCAAGGUCUUAACAACGAUGCUUGGCUGCCUCAGUGAAGCAUCCAUCUGCCAGGAGGUUGGGGGUCACUGCCAUGGGCCCUGAGUCUUCUCUUCUUUAGACUGAUCACUUGCCCAUAACUAUCUCUAGACUUCUUGCCACAAUGGCUCUCCUUUGAACACCCCAUGGUUUCUCACUUCUUAAACCACUGUAAGUAUGAAGUCUCCAUGAGGGGAGACUUAACUAACUGCUAAUAGAAGAACAGAAAGAACAGAAAGGUGUGUGGAGUUCCACGCUCCAACAGCAUCUACCACUUGCUCAAUGAAGUUUUUCAAAAAUAAAAAUAUUUUCUAAGCAGAUGAUGUGGCUCUUUUAUCGUGCUCAUCAUUUUAGAGAGAAAAAGAUCAAAGAUAGAGCCACCAUAGGUUCCAAACCCAAGGUUUGGGAAACUCCAUUCCAGUUCUAUUAAAAUUGCAGCUUUUUCAUAUAAAUUUCCCUGGAGAAGAAAUAUCAUAGGAGUUUUAAUAAUAAUAAAGUACAGGUUCUGUAGCCAACUCAUCUGGUUUGAAUCUCGUUCUGACACUUCCUAGCUGUGUAAUCUUAAGCAAAUUACUUAACCUCUCUGUGCCUCUGUUUUUCUAACAAAUGGGGGCAAUGAUAUGACCUACCUUUGAG